rnacentral:rRNA from 1 species
AUUGAACGCUGGCGGUAGGCCUAACACAUGCAAGUCGAACGGCAGCACAGUAAGAUCUUGCUCUUACGGGUGGCGAGUGGCGGACGGGUGAGGAAUACAUCUGAAUCUACUUUUUCGUGGGGGAUAACGUAGGGAAACUUACGCUAAUACCGCAUACGACCUACGGGUGAAAGCAGGGGAUCUUCCGACCUUGCGCGAUUGCAUGAGCCGAUGUCGGAUUAGCUAGUUGGCGGGGUAAAGGCCCACCAAGGCGACGAUCCGUAGCUGGUCUGAGAGGAUGAUCCGCCACACUGGAACUGAGACACGGUCCAGACUCCUACGGGAGGCAGCAGUGGGGAAUAUUGGACAAUGGGCGCAAGCCUGAUCCAGCCAUACCGCGUGGGUGAAGAAGGCCUUCGGGUUGUAAAGCCCUUUUGUUGGGAAAGAAAAGCAGCAGGUUAAUACCCCGCUGUUCUGACGGUACCCAAAGAAUAAGCACCGGCUAACUUCGUG